CCAAUAGCGUAUAUUAAAGUUGUUGCAGUUAAAAAGCUCGUAGUUGAAUUUCGGGAUUGACGUGACGGUCAUGCCUUAAGGGGUAUGAACUGUUGCUGUUGAUUUCUCACCUUCUGGAGAAACUUGAUGUCCUUUAUUGGGUGUCUUGCGGAUCCAGGACCUUUACCUUGAAAAAAUUAGAGUGUUUAAAGCAGGCAUUUUUGCUCGAAUACAUUAGCAUGGAAUAAUAGAAUAGGACGGCAUGGUUCUAUUUUGUUGGUUUCUAGGAUCACCGUAAUGAUUAAUAGGGAUAGUUGGGGGCAUUAGUAUUCAAUUGUCAGAGGUGAAAUUCUUGGAUUUAUUGAAGACUAACUACUGCGAAAGCAUUUGCCAAGGAUGUUUUCAUUAAUCAAGAACGAAAGUUAGGGGAUCGAAGACGAUCAGAUACCGUCGUAGUCUUAACCAUAAACUAUGCCGACUAGGAAUCAGACGAUGUUAAUUUUUUAAUGAUUCGUUUGGCACCUUACG
rnacentral:misc_RNA from 1 species